GAUGAACGCUAGCUACAGGCUUAACACAUGCAAGUCGAGGGGUAACGAGAGGAAAGCUUGCUUUCCUUGUCGACGACCGGCGCACGGGUGAGUAACGCGUAUCCAACCUGCCCCCAACUAGGGAAUAACCUUGCGAAAGUAAGACUAAUACCCUAUAAUUUCCUCAGAUGUCAUCUGACGAGGAAUAAAGAUUUAUCGGUUGUGGAUGGGGAUGCGUCUGAUUAGCUUGUUGGCGGGGUAACGGCCCACCAAGGCAACGAUCAGUAGGGGUUCUGACAGGAAGGUCCCCCACAUUGGAACUGGGACACGGUCCAAACUCCUACGGGAGGCAGCAGUGAGGAAUAUUGGUCAAUGGGCGGAAGCCUGAACCAGCCAAGUAGCGUGCAGGAUGACGGCCCUAUGGGUUGUAAACUGCUUUUAUACAGGAAUAAAGUUAGCCACGUGUGGUUAUUUGUAGGUACUGUAUGAAUAAGGACCGGCUAAUUCCGUGCCAGCCGCCGCAGUAA
rnacentral:rRNA from 1 species